rnacentral:rRNA from 1 species
AAGCGUUUAUGACCAGACUUGGGCUUGGUUAAUCAUCUGGGGUUCUCCCCAGUGCACUUUUCCAGUCCAGGCCAGCAUCAGUUUUCCCCGGGGGAUAAAAGCCUUGGGAAUGUGGCUCCUCCGGGAGUGUUAUAACCCAGGGUAUAAUACCCCUAAGGAGACCGAGGUUCGCGCUCUGCAAGGAUGCUGGCGUAAUGGUCAUCAGCGA